AAAUGCAGAGCCGUAUGCAAUUAGAUGACCGAGAAGCCAACUACAACGCAAAACCGAUAGAAAAAAUGCAGAAUCACACCGCAACUGUGGUUAUUUUACGGUAAACAACUAAAAACAAAGGAACCGUCACCGCAAAGACUAUUCUACCCGCCCCAAAACCCAGAAGAACAUUACAGCUGAAAACUUACCAACAAAACAACAAAACUAAAAUUAGUGCAACUCAAUAGAACCAAUAUCGCCGACAACAAGCAAACCACUGGCAACGAGUGAACCCGUAAUAAAGGCGAUUAAACCGCAUCGCGCCCAUGUUUAACGGUGGCCAAUACUGAUCAGUUAGUCAUUAACCCAGAACUUACAUCCUCAGGCGACCAAACCGUUGGUUGGAUCGCGCCCAUUUUUAACGGCAGCCGACACAGAUCAUUAAGCCAUUAACCCAGAAUGUGCAUCCUCGAUCCCAGCCGGACCUGCAAAAAAACAAAUAAAACAGACAAUUCUUUUUUGGCGACUCCCCACUUCCAGCUUCUGUUUUCAACAUCCUGAUCAUCGGACGCAUUAACAGCCACGCCUGCAACAACAAACAAAACACAGGUCCCUAACACCAGACAUGGUUCACAGCCCGGACAUGAAAGCCGAUCGAACCGGACCGGGAAGGGGAUAAACGAAGGAGGAAUACCGGAAUCGAUUGGAACAAAAACAGGUUAGGGACAGAGAGGGUUCCGAUAGGACAGGGAGGGGGAAAUCGGCAAGGGGAGGGGUGAUCGGUGUUGGGUACACCCAAGUGGGGUGGGUGUGAUUGUAGGGGAUAAAACCCCUUGGCUUUUCUCCCCUUUGGAUAGACUGCCUUUAGGCAGUGUGUAUGCUCUUAGAGACGUGAGAGUGAGAGCAAAGGGAGAGUGAGCCGGUUUGUGGCUCCCCCGUCCGGGAGAGCGGUGCUCCUCGGAGAUGCUUGGAUAUUCCGUCGGAGAGCCACCGGAGUGAGGGAGAGAGAGAGGAGUGGGGAAGCCAGCUUGUGGCUGUCCCGGUGAGGUUUUUCAUACUUGUAUAUGUGAUUUAUACACAGUGGACUUUUCCUAGGAUAUCUCUUUUUUGUGCUUGGUUUAUUUUCGUGCUUGUGCUUGGAGGUGUGAAUCGGGGUUGGGGUCUUGACCCAACAAUCGGAACAGGAAGACAACCGAAAGGAGGAACCCGGUUACACGACGGGGAGGGAAAGUAGGAAUCGGGGAGGCGAGCAACCGGGGAGGAGAGUCUGAACUGUGAAUGAGUCCGAGCUUAUAGAAGAAAGAGCAGAUAACAGGUGGAGCCUGCCCGGUGGAGGGUGUCGAGUGGAGCUGCAAAGGAGGGCCUGUGGCGAGCUGAGCUGAGGAUGCUACGGUGGAAAGGGCUGUUACCCGACGCCAAAGGGGAACCGAUCACCGGAGGCGGACUAUAGAAGGAUGCUUAUUCAUGGAGGGGAGGGGCGGGCGGCGACGGAGUGCGGCUGGGGAGAGAGCGGCAGCCCCCUCCCCAAAAAAACCUAAACAAAGUUUGGCUUUCUGUGUACGCGACUUUUUCUAGAGAGAGAGAGAGAGUUGAAAGAAUAUUUUGUCUUUGUAUUGCCAAGGAAAUUAGGAAUAUCUUUUUCUAUUUUUUUUGAAUAUUUUUGACAACUUUGUAUGAUUUUUUUUUAACAAACAGAAUUAUUUUGUGCUCCAAAUGCAAUGCUUCUCCCUCUCACAAAAGUGUGUGGGACCGACUUUACAAAAUGUGAACCAUACGCACUUUUG